GUGAACGCUGGCGGUAGGCCUAACACAUGCAAGUCGAACGGCAGCACCGUAAGAGCUUGCUCUUACGGGUGGCGAGUGGCGGACGGGUGAGGAAUCCAUCGGAAUCUACUUUUUCGUGGGGGAUAACGUAGGGAAACUUACGCUAAUACCGCAUACGACCUACGGGUGAAAGCAGGGGAUCUUCGGACCUUGCGCGAUUGAAUGAGCCGAUGUCGGAUUAGCUAGUUGGCGGGGUAAAGGCCCACCAAGGCGACGAUCCGUAGCUGGUCUGAGAGGAUGAUCAGCCACACUGGAACUGAGACACGGUCCAGACUCCUACGGGAGGCAGCAGUGGGGAAUAUUGGACAAUGGGCGCAAGCCUGAUCCAGCCAUACCGCGUGGGUGAAGAAGGCCUUCGGGUUGUAAAGCCCUUUUGUUGGGAAAGAAAAGCAGCAGGUUAAUACCCCGCUGUUCUGACGGUACCCAAAGAAUAAGCACCGGCUAACUUCGUG
rnacentral:rRNA from 1 species